rnacentral:rRNA from 1 species
GACGAACGCUGGCGGCGUGCUUAACACAUGCAAGUCGAACGGAAAGGCCCUGCUUUUGUGGGGUGCUCGAGUGGCGAACGGGUGAGUAACACGUGAGUAACCUGCCCUUGACUUUGGGAUAACUUCAGGAAACUGGGGCUAAUACCGGAUAGGAGCUCCUGCUGCAUGGUGGGGGUUGGAAAGUUUCGGCGGUUGGGGAUGGACUCGCGGCUUAUGGGCUUGUUGGUGGGGUAGUGGCUUACCAAGGCUUUGACGGGUAGCCUGCCUGAGAGGGUGGCCGGCCCACAUACGACUGAGGUAGGACGCAGACGCGAAUCGGACGCAACGGUGGAGAGUGUUACAGAGUAGACGGGAGGCAGUUAUGACAACGCUACGUGCGGGAAGACGUGAUUGGGGUUGGGAACCAAUGUCGCCUUAGACGGGGCGUUAGUGACGGUACCGGGUAAAGAAGCACCGGCUAACUACGUG